GAUGAACGCUGGCGGCGUGCCUAAUACAUGCAAGUCGAGCGAACAGACGAGGAGCUUGCUCCUCUGACGUUAGCGGCGGACGGGUGAGUAACACGUGGAUAACCUACCUAUAAGACUGGGAUAACUUCGGGAAACCGGAGCUAAUACCGGAUAAUAUAUUGAACCGCAUGGUUCAAUAGUGAAAGACGGUUUUGCUGUCACUUAUAGAUGGAUCCGCGCCGCAUUAGCUAGUUGGUAAGGUAACGGCUUACCAAGGCAACGAUGCGUAGCCGACCUGAGAGGGUGAUCGGCUACACUGGAACUGAGACACGGUCCAGACUCCUACGGGAGGCAGCAGUAGGGAAUCUUCCGCAAUGGGCGAAAGCCUGACGGAGCAACGCCGCGUGAGUGAUGAAGGUCUUCGGAUCGUAAAACUCUGUUAUUAGGGAAGAACAAAUGUGUAAGUAACUAUGCACGUCUUGACGGUACCUAAUCAGAAAGCCACGGCUAACUAUGUG
rnacentral:rRNA from 1 species